GUACUGAUGAAGAGCCCAAAACUAGGACGAAACAGCCGUCCAGUAC
rfam:Trichobilharzia regenti genome assembly, scaffold: TRE_scaffold0046773